AUGCAUGGGGGAACCUGAUGCAGCGACGCAGCGUGCGGGAUGACGGCCUUCGGGUUGUAAACCGCUUUCAGCAGGGAAGAAGCCUUUCGGGGUGACGGUACCUGCAGAAGAAGUACCGGCUAACUACGUGCCAGCAGCCGCGGUAAUACGUAGGGUACAAGCGUUGUCCGGAAUUAUUGGGCGUAAAGAGCUCGUAGGUGGUUGGUCACGUCUGCUGUGGAAACGCAACGCUUAACGUUGCGCGUGCAGUGGGUACGGGCUGACUAGAGUGCAGUAGGGGAGUCUGGAAUUCCUGGUGUAGCGGUGAAAUGCGCAGAUAUCAGGAGGAACACCGGUGGCGAAGGCGGGACUCUGGGCUGUAACUGACACUGAGGAGCGAAAGCAUGGGGAGCGAACAGGAUUAGAUACCCUGGUAGUCCAUGCCGUAAACGUUGGGCACUAGGUGUGGGGGACAUUCCACGUUCUCCGCGCCGUAGCUAACGCAUUAAGUGCCCCGCCUGGGGAGUACGGUCGCAAGGCUAAAACUCAAAGGAAUUGACGGGGGCCCGCACAAGCGGCGGAGCAUGCGGAUUAAUUCGAUGCAACGCGAAGAACCUUACCAAGGCUUGACAUACACCAGACCGUUCUGGAAACAGUUCCUCCCCUUUGGGGUUGGUGUACAGGUGGUGCAUGGUUGUCGUCAGCUCGUGUCGAGAGAUGUUGGGUUAAGUCCCGCAACGA
rnacentral:rRNA from 1 species